rnacentral:snRNA from 1 species
UGAGGGUUGAUCAUCGAUCUGUA